GAUCUGGUAGCUCAGAUGGUAGAGCAUUUCCCUUUUAAGGAAAUGGCCCUGGGUUCGAGUCCCAGCCAGAUCA
rnacentral:tRNA from 1 species